CGGGAUAUGGACGACCGAGCGUUAUUGGGAAGCAGUUGGUAGGAUCGACGGGAUAGGAAACGAAAUAUAUUGACGCCGCAGCAGAUAUAGGCAUGACUGGCCCCGAUCUGUCACACAAAUCAUCCGCUUCGGGUCGUCGCCAUGACGCUGCCAGCAGACGCAUCGCGGCACCUCGUUUCGCUACUUCUGUCUUUUAUGCACAAACGCAUUCGCGUGGCCAUGCUAUUUGCGCAGCUCGCUCGUGCGAACCAGAUUUACAGUAUUGUCAGAUUUUCGCGAAAUUUAUAACGACGAUGUGGAACGUUUCAAAGCGCCGAGAGGGGCUUGCCCUCUCGCCGUUUUGAAUUCGCGUCGACUUCGACGCUGCGAAUCUGCAAAGUGAAAUUUACAUCCUAGGGAGCGAAUUUAUUAUCGGAUAUCACAGAGGAGGAUUUGAAGAACCACAUACGUGUGAUCAUUCCAACAAACAAGAAGAAAGCAACAUUAUAGACUCGGAACUGUCUUUGGAAAGUGUGGCAGACCAUCAGAAAAAGCAGCAUUGAAAAGCACGGAAAUGAUCCCCCUUUCUAUAUCUUCUUACGUACGUGCGUGCGUGUGCGUGUGCGUGUGUGUGCGCGCGCACAUGCGUUCAUGUGUACACACAUGCUCACACUCAAUUUUCUGUGUAGAUUAUAAUCAACCGGGCCUUACAAAGCGAUAU